AAGUUAUUUAGUGCACAGUGACUCAUGAGUGUUGAAAGAAUCAGUGAAUUUUACAAUGAAUCUGUGCUGUGAAGUGUUUUAAUCAGACUAAACACUGAUGAUGUUUUUAACACAGCAUGACUGAGAUGGAAACAUUUUACAAAGAGAAACUUCAUGAGGCAAGAUCUUCUCUGAAACAAAAAGAGGAAGAACUGAAAUCAGUCAAAGACAGGAAAAGGCUUAGGAAUGAAGAAACCAUGAAACCCAGCUGCCGACGGUGUGAACAACAUGAACGUGAACACAAAG